ACUGAGAAGUCGUCCGUGCAAAUCGGACCAUUUUGACACCCAACAGCUAGCCCCACACCCCAAACCAAACAACCC
rnacentral:tRNA from 1 species